GGCCCCGUGGUGUAACGGUUAGCACUCAGGACUCUGAAUCCUGGGUUCCGAGUUCAAAUCUCGGCGGGACCU
rnacentral:tRNA from 1 species